AUUGCUUUGACUCUUUUAAAACAGAACAAUGGGAUUCCUAUAUUUCAUUGGUUUAUGAAGUAAACUGUUAUGCAUAUCAUGCUCCUUACAAAAUGAUAACUGUUAAAUAUGCUGCUCUUUAAACUCUCUUUCAGAUCGCACUGGAUUUGCUAUUGAAUUGAAUCCUCCAUAUCCUGUUGCUGGACAGUCUGUCAUCCUGAAUGUCAUUGGAGUCACUGAGCAAAUACGCACAUUUUCCUGGUAUAAAGGUUCAGAGACAGAGACUCAAAACCAAAUCUUAACCUAUUAUCCAGGUUCAGCAUACCCACAAGUGGACGGGCCUCAAUAUUUUGAACAAGCUAAUGGUUUACCAGAUGGCUCUUUACAGAUCACAGAUCUUAAGAUAACAGACAAGGGGAAUUACACUGUGGUAAUAACUAUUAUGAAUGGUGUACUGCCAAUAAAAAACAUGACCCUAUCUAUACAUGGUUUGAAGAAAAUAGAGGUACACACAUUGUGACAAUCAUCCCAAGAUAAAACUACAUCAAGGAACUCGAUAGUGUGUGUUUGUAUAUUAGAGAUUGCACUGGAUUUGCUAUUGAAUUAAAUCCUCCAUAUCCUGUCGCUGGACAGUCUGUCAUCCUGAAUGUCAUUGGAGUCACUGAGAAAAUACUCACAUUUACUUGGUAUACAGGUUCAGGGGCAGACUUUAAAAACCAAAUCUUAAGUUAUCAUCCAGGUUCAGCAUAUCCACAAGUGAAUGGAUCUCAAUAUUUUGACAAGAUCUUAGGAUAACAGACAAAGGGGAUUACACUGUGAUAAUACCUAUUGUAAAUGGUGUACUGCUAAUAAAGACCGUGAACCUAC